GAUUGGGACCUACUGGUUACACCUACUGCUCAUUGUUUGUAAUGACUUUUUUUUACAUGUUUGUGAGAAGCUAGCUAGACUAGCUAGUCUAGCUAGCUAUAGACAUUCAAAAAGGCAGGUGUCAAUUGUGUAUUGCUAGUCUAGCUGAGCACCAUUACAUUUACCUGAGAGGUUUUAUGUGGCUGAGAUUGUUCUAAACUUGUCCUUCCUGAAUAUCGAAUAAAGUUGUGCUUAGAGCUGAGUCUGAGAAUACUGGAGCAUGCAGGAUUGAUACUAGAACUUAAGUCUUGGUCUUCUUUGUUUGAGGUAGCUAGCUAGCUAGCUGAGACAAAGCUAGCCAAAGUGAAACGAUUCACGGUGCUAUCUCUACAUGAUUUGCAGCCACGUGCAUGAAAAGAUGGGCAGGGCUGCUUGAUUUCAAUUAUUGGGGAGCCCUGCCCAAUUUUCUCAGCAGCUCCUGGGGGGGUUUCUGGGCAACCAGGAAACAAUGGUAGCUACGCCCCUGAGUGUGGUCCCACUGUGUACACUGUAGCUAGUGUACAGAGCCUAUAGUGUGGUCCCACUGUGUACACUGUAGCUAGUGUACAGAGCCUGGUCCCACUGUGUAUGAUCAUCCUAGAGUCUAUCCCAGGCCUUGUGAAGGAGGCUACCUAGACUAGAGUCGAGUCCUUAAUCUAUGCUAGAGUCUAGCUGAUUUCCAGUAUUAUAUUAUGGUUACAUGAUCGAAGUGAUUACACAAUAAGAGUGAUUCCUUGGUAAUGCUGGACUGGCUUCCUUCAAGACAGCCUUCUGAGUUACUUAGCCAAAGAAAAUAUGUUUAAUAUGGCGAAUUACUGAGCAACUUCUUUUAGGAGAUUUUUUAAUGAGAAAUUAUAUUACCUCCAUCGGCUCGUCUUUAUUUGAAUUCACAUCACAUGACCCCCCCCACACAUAGUCUGAGUAUGCCGUUUCAGAAGGACUUUGUGAUAAUCCAGUCCAAUCGUAGGAGGAAGCCACAAAGCUCCGCCUUCCUCUCGGGUCGUUUCUCCCUGUCCACCUUCACCCAUCCCUCGGCCACAUCCAUCACACACUCACAGACUGGCCAGCUCAAGUAUGGUGAGGAGGGUUAGUCCAUGUGAUCACAUGACCCGGCUUUAUACCACUUGCCACUUAGGCAAUACGUACCAGUACCUGUACCUCACAUGCAAACAAACACCUUAUGUACAUCUAGUAGAUGAUUAAGCAGCUUGUAUUGUGGUCAUAAAUUCAGCGACUGAUAAGUUUUACAAUGUGUAGCCUCGGUCCCAAAUCCCCUCUCAAUAGGGUAUUCCUUGAAAUUGAUUACUUGUAUUUGAGUCCAUUUCUUUAACUUAAAUCUGUACAUAUCUACGGUGACUCUUCCUGUGAAUGGCCACUGAAGCGUGUCAUCAAAUUCCCCUCUCAUUAUGAAAGCAUACACUGACAUCUUGCACUUGAGAGGACAAGGAAAGCAAUGGAAGCUUUGGAGCGUUUUGCACAGAAUCUCAGUUUCUCCAACACCUGUAGUAGCGAUGAGAGCUUCAGCUAAACUGUUGAAUACUCUUAGAAGAGAGAUCUCUUGUAACAAUAACUAGAUUAUUGACAGUUAUAAAUGCAUUUUUUUUAUUAACUUAUUUUGUUGCACAAUUAUACAUCUUUUUAUUUUUAUUUAAUGCAUUUAUAACUGUCAA